GGUCCAGUGGCGUAGUGGUUAACGCGUCGUCGGAAACAUAAACCGUUCAUCACAUGUUCCCGACGGAGGUCCUUGUUCGAACCAAGGCUGGAUCA